GAGGUCACAGCCUGGCUUCUGUGACGCUGUGGGUGGCCCCGAAGCGCCCUCGAGCUUCCCGACAAAGACAGCUAGAAAGAGAGUGCUCGGCUGUUCCCAGACAAAAACCAGAGGGCCAGGAGGAGGCAGCCGGCGCCCAUUUCAAGGAUUCCAGAGGUAUCAGCAGAACCAGGCUCCUGAAGGGAAGCUUGCAUAGUGAAAAGCCUCAGAAGACAUAAUGUCUACCAGCAGAGGAAAAGUCAGCCCACUUUGAAGGAAACCAGUUGCCAUGUUAUGAACUGAUCUACAGGGAAGAAAACAUAGUCAUCAGUCGUACGUGUGGUAGGGUUCUGGUGGCCUUCAGCUUGGUUCCUUACUGAAUUAUUCAUAUAACGAGGAGUUCAAGUUCAUCAUAUGCUGGAGAGGAGUCUGAUGCGGGGAAGGCAUGUAAGAAUGAGAUACAGCUCUUGGCAUGGGGAGUUUGGAUUAACCUUCCAGACUACUGCUUCCAAACCUUAGGCAGCUCCAUUGAAGUGGCCACAUUUUGAUUCUGACCAUGGGAAAGGACCAACAUCCAGAACGCAGAACCCAAGGAAACUACCCCCCUUGCUGUGAGAACAUGAAAACAGCUCUCUGCACAGAAUCUGAGGCCUUCAGCCAACAGUCAGAAUCUUGCUAGACUAAUGAGUGAGCCACUUUGGAAAUGGAUUCUCCAGAUCCAACCAAGUCUUCAGAUGACUGCAGGAGCAGCUGACAUUUGACUUCAAUUACACAAGAGUUUCCAAAUGAAGACUGCUCACAGAGCCCUUCCUGAGUUGCUGGCCACCAGAAACUUGACUUGAUCAGUGUUCAUUUUUUUUAAAGCCACUAUGCUUUGAGGGGUCAAUUGUUAGGUAGCAUUAGAUGACAAAUGGAAUGUUGUGCAUUGACAACCACAGUAAUGUCCCUUAAGACGACUAGAGUGAUCAAUCCUGGUGAUCUACUCCUUUUAAUUUUCUUGGCAAUGGGAUGGGGAUUCUUCAGGAAUGUGGAGUCAGGAAUAAUGUAGAAUCUAGUUUAUCUUAUAUGGAUACAUAUCACAUUAUCCAAGUUCUUGCAAAAAAAUAUUUCUUUUUCUUGAGUUUAGAGAAAAAGAUAGAUGGGUCUUCCAUGCUAGUCUCCUGAAGAGCCACUUGGGGCUUUUGCUUCCAGGUCAACAGGCCAGUAAUCUGUUCUACUAUUUUGCUUAAGUAGAAUUAGUGCUAUGCAGAAUCAAAUAAAAAAAUUAGUUAUGGGAUGGUUAAGUGGAGACCUAUUAGUAGCGAUAAAAAUGUUGAUCAGAAAAAAGUGAAGAUGCAUACGAAUGAGAAUGUGUGCCAUUCUGACUAAAGUCAUGUAGAUUUAUUUUUUUAUUUAAAAUACAAAAAAGCUAAAAAGGAGGCCAUGGAUAGCCUGAGGUCUUCAAGACUUUCCGGCACUUUUCUCCAGCCAGGCAGUGGAAGUUCCUACCAACAUCGAUAGGGAGCCAGAGAAACAGGACAACAACUCCUUAAAGAAGGACUGGGCUGUGCUUGCCCUUGCAUCUUCAGAAAAUAGCCAUGCUCUAUGGUGUGGAGAAGCAUAAUGAGCAAGGGAGGUGCUAUGAGAACUUGCUCAGGAUCCCCGAGAGCUGGCUGUAGUGCACACCCAUUCCCUGAGCAGGUGUGUUCCGUCCUCAACUCACUGGAGCAGAUACAUGAAAAACCAAAAAGUAAGUCAAAGCCAAAGCCACAGGGGACUCAUUAGGAGACUAGAAAGGAAAACCUAUCUACCUUUUUCCUUCAAUCCAAGAAAAAGAAAGCUUUUUCCAAGGAGGAGUUGGUUAGUAGCGAUUCUGAAGGAUAGCAAUUAGUGCCAAGAAGAAAAAAUCUUCACACAAGAAAAAAAAAACAGUGAUCACAAAGAAGCAGGAUGCUGGAGUGACUCUCCAGGAAAAAGCGGACUUCUCUUCCAAAAAGGAGCCAGGCAGCAGUGACCCUUAAGAGAAAAGUUCCCACAACUAUCCCAGGAAGAUUAGAAUGGACAUUCCCUGGGGGAAGCACAUUCCCUGUGGUGACAUUUCCCAACCUGUCCUAUUCCCCAGGGAAAAGAAAUUCACACACGCAUACACAAGUAAAAUAAAAUAAAAAAUACC